rnacentral:misc_RNA from 1 species
CUUGAAUUACAUUGCUACACUCCCCUUUUUCAUAAACAGUGGAACAUAUCUCCUUAAAUUUCCCCUUACCUUUAGUACGUUUUAGUUGAGAAGCAUCCCCAAUAAAGCCAACUUGCGCCCGCUUCUUCCUUUGCUUCGGUUGGGAAGACAGUNNNNNNNNNNNNCUUUCUGGAAGGAAGGGUGGACAAGGUUUAUCCCAUUGAACCUUUAUGGAUCGCCACUCAGAAUCUGGCCAUCUUGAUGAUAUAUUAUCUUGAAAAUGAAC